rnacentral:rRNA from 1 species
AUACUCAACAUUAAUGCAUACGGUGGAUGCCUAGGUCGAAAGUACCGAUGAAGGACGUGCUAAGCUGCGAUAAGCUUUGGGGAGCUGCUAAAAAGCUUUGAUCCAAAGAUUUCCGAAUAGAGUAAUCAGUCCGAUUUAUCGGAUACUCUUUACUGAAUUCAUAGGUAAAGAGAGGGUACGUGCCGAACUGAAACAUCUAAGUAAGCACAGGAAAAGAAAUCAAACGAGAUUCCCUAAGUAGCGGCGAGCGAAAAGGGAACAGCCUAAACCCCGAUUUAAUCGGGGUGUUGCGGGACCACAAUAUCUGACUGAUGAAGAUAGAAGAAAACUCUGGAAAGAGUUGCCAAAGAAGGUGACAGCCCUGUAAUCGAAAUUAACAUCAGCGGUAGUGGAUUCCCAAGUAACUCAGGACACGUGAAAUUCUGAGUGAAUCUGGGGCGACCAUGCUCUAAGGCUAAAUAUGCUUUCGGACCGAUAGUGAACUAGUACCGCAAGGGAAAGGUGAAAAGAAGAGGUUUAACCUCAGUGAAAUAGUACCUGAAACCGUAUGUUGACAAGCAGUGGAAGUCCGCCUACAUCUGUAAAGUUGUGGUGGACAACCGCGUGCCUAUUGAAGAAUGAACCGGUGAGUUAUCAUGUAUUCUUAGUUUAAGCCUCUUUGAGGUGGAAGCGCAGUGAAAGCGAGGGUUAAUUGCCCGAUAUAGAGAAUGCAUGUUAGACCCGAAACCGAGUGAGCUAUCCAUGUCCAGGGUGAACCCCGUCGAAAGACGGGAGGAGGCCCGAACCCGUAACUGUAGCAAUAGUUUGGGAAGAGAUGUGGUUAGAGGUGAUAUGCCAAACGAACUCGGAGAUAGCUGGUUCUCCCCGAAAUAUAUUUAGGUAUAGCCGUCCAAUGGUGUCUAGAGGUAGAGCACUGGCUCGAAUCCUCAGUCGCAAGACCGAGGUUCGAUUCAAACUCCGAAUGCUAGAAACACUAAAUUGGACGAGUCAGUCCGAUCCGGCUAAGCGGAGCGGGCCUGAGGGAAACAACCCAGAUCAACAGCUAAGGUCCCUAAUUGUAAGUUAAGUGUUAAAGGAAGUUAUAAUCCUUAGACAGCCAGGAAGUUGGCUUAGAAGCAGCCACCUUUUAAAGAUAGCGUAACAGCUCGCUGGUCUACUACGGAUUGUAGCGCCGACAAUGAACCGGGGCUAAACUUACAACCGAAGCUUUGGAUUCCGCCGUAAGGCGGAGUGGUAGGGGAGCGUCCUGAUUGGCAUGAAGCUGUGCUGUAAAGCAUGGUGGACUAAUCAGGAGUGAGAAUGCCGGUAUGAGUAGCGUAUUGACGUGAGAAACGUCAUCGCCGAAUGCCCAAGGUUUUCCAUGCAACGUUAAUCGGCGUGGAGUUAAUCGGUCCUAAGGUGAGGCCAAUAGGCGUAACCGAUGGAGAACAGGCUAAAAUUCCUGUAUUGAGAUUGUUCUGACAAGUUCUGAUGUAGGCCCCGCAAGGGGCACAUAUCAGGAGCUUUCAAGGGUGGACGAAGUAGGAUUUCUUGAUCCCGCAUUGCGGGGUUUAAAUAGCAAGUUAGUGGAAAUAGGCAAAACCGUUUCCAUAAGUCGGAACGUAACACUCAUUAAUUGUGUGAACGUUCCGUCUUAAAAAUGCAAGCUAUGAUGACGUAAGCAAGUAAAAUUCUGUUUCCAAGAAAAGACUCGUGAAGGAGAAUGAUUUUAACCGUACCGUAAACCGACACAGGUGGGCGAGUUGAGUAUACAAAGGCGAUCGGGAGAACUAUCCUUAAGGAACUCGGCAACAAAAGCUGGACGUAACUUUGGGAGAUGUCCUGCCAUGCACCAUACGGUGCGUGGCUACAACAAAUGACGCUAAGCGACUGUUUAACAAAAACACAGGUCCCUGCUAAAUCGAAAGAUGAUGUAUAGGGGCUGACACCUGCCCAGUGCCAGUAAUUUAAAAUUCGGGAUGACCCGCAAGGUGAGUCCUGGGUCUAAGAUCUGGUGAACGGCAGCAGUAACUAUAACUGUUCUAUGGUUUUGGGAAUUUCAAAGCCUUAGAUGGUGGUGUGUUUUUUAAUCUGACUAUAUGCUGGAAUAUCUGAGUAUCCUAUGCUACUAUGGUAAUAACUACACAUAGUUAUGCCAAGUAAAAAUGCAUUAGGUGCAGACAAUCAGCAGGAAAGGCUUAGGAUCUCAAGUUGGAUAGUUGGUUUUGUUGAUGGAGAAGGGUGCUUUUCAGUUUCUAUCUUUAAAAAUAGAACAACCAGGAGUGGAUUUCAGGUAAUGCCUGAAUUUGUGGUUACACAAGGCCAGAAAAGUCUAAACGUUUUAGAAACUAUUAAAGACUUUUUUGGAUGUGGAGCGAUCUAUGUAAAUAGGCGCUAUGAUAAUCACAAAGAAGAUAUCUACCGUUAUUGUGUUCGUGCUACAAAAGAUUUAAACGAAAAAAUAAUCCCUUUUUUCAAAGCAAACAAACUAUUAACUUAUAAGAAGAAUGAUUUUGAAACUUUCUGUAAAGCAGUGGAGAUGAAAUUAUUAAAUCUUCAUUUAACAGCAGAAGGUUUGCAAAAAUUUAGAGAUCUUAAGAAUCCUCAGAGACUAUACGUCAGACCCUAAAAGGGAAGAUAUAGUCCGGACUAUAUAGCGAUAUAUAGAUGUGACGAUUAGAUUGUCACAGUAACAUAAUCGAGCGAAGUUCCUUGUCUGGUGAGUUCAGACCCGCACGAAAGGUAGAACGACUUAGCGACUGUCUUGAGGAUAGACCCGGCGAAAUUGCAAUGGCUGUGAAGAUGCGGCCUUCCCAUACUUGGACAAAAAGACCCCGUGGAGCUUUACUGUAGCUUGGCCCUGAUUUAAAGCUUUGAUUGUAUAGCGUAGGAGGGACCCGCCAACAUUCUUUCGUAAGAAAGUUUGGGCGGGGACAAUGAAACACCUCUCUUUUGAAUCUUUAAAUCUCACCCCAACCCUUAUAAAAACAGGGAAGGGGACAAGGUCUGGCGGGCAGUUUGACUGGGGCGGUCCCCUCCAAAAGAGUAACGGAGGGGUACAAAGGUACACUUAGCGCGUAAGGAAAUCGCGCUUUAAGCGUAAAGGUAUAUAGUGUGCUUAAUAGCAAGACAUACAAGUCGAGCUAGUGCGAAAGCAGGUCUUAGUGAUCCCCUGUUUGCAAAUGGAUGCGGCAGGGCUUAUCGGAUAAAAGCUACCCCGGGGAUAACAGGCUAGUCUUGCCCUACAGUCCACAAGGACGGCAAGGUUCGGCACCUCAACUAAAAUCGGGGGUCGGUAGGAGUAAUCCUAUUAGAAUUGUUAUCAACAUUAGAAAGUCUUUUUGUAAAUAUUUACUAGCUAAAAUCGGUGAACUCCAAUCCGCUAUAUGCGGAGGAUAACACCGAGGGAACCAUGAAGUAGAUAAUCUCACUUCAUGGCCCGUAACGACUUAAUCUUUAGAGAGAUUGGAUUCAAGGUUCCAGAUAAUCUGGGUUGAAACUUGAAUGAGCAAAUGCUCUUCAACUUUAUAAAUAAACUUGAAUAAAAGGCUAGCUCCUAUAAAGUUAAUAGGAUGAAGGUAUAGUCUGAUCCUGUAAGAAAUUACAGAAAAUUCGACAGCGAUGUCGGCUCAUCGCAGCGCGGGGCUGAAGCAGGUCCCAAGCGUCUGGCUGUUCGCCAGUUAAAGCGGUACGCGAGCUGGGUUCAGAGCGUCGUAAGACAGCUCGGACUCUAUCCAGUAUGGGCGUUUUGAUUCUUGAGGGGAGUUGUCUCUAGUAAGCAAUUGCUACUGUCCGCCGAAAGGCGGACUGACAAAUUGGCUAAUAACGGUGAAGCCCUCUUGACUUUGGGUUUAGUUUGGUUCUAUGCUAAAUCUAUAACAAAAAAGUCAAUGGGUAAUACCGUGGGAAGACGAUUCAUGUGUCAUUCUGAGGCGAAGCCGAAGAAUCUCUGAACUAGUUUCAGAUGUAUCUAGAAUAAAUCUAGAGAUCCUUCACUACGUUCAGGAUGACAAAGAAUUUGUCCCCGUAACGACUGAUAUAUGAGGUACCAGAUAAUCUGGAAGUAAACUCAUAUUAUAUGCCAAUUCCGCAGCACAUUAUGGUGGCGGAAAAGAUAUAGUCUGAUUCUCUAAGAAAUUAGAGUUAACAAAAUGACGAGAGGACCGAGAUGAGGAAACCUCUAGUGUGCCUGUUGUUACUACAGUAGCAGCGCAGGGUAGCUACGUUUCUUUUUGAUAAGUGCUGAAAGCAUCUAAGCACGAAGCAGACCCCAAGAUGAGGAAUCUUUAAGAUCCCUAGAAGACUACUAGGUUGAUAGGUUGGCGGUGUAAGCACUGUAAGGUGUUUAGCCUACCAAUACUAAUGAUCAUAGUUGAGAUUUU